GGGGGCGGGGCAAAAAAGGUAUAGGGCACAGGGAGAUGGGGCAGAAAAGGUGCAGGGCGCCGGGUGGAGAUGGGGCAGAAAAGGUAUAGGGCACAGGGCGACGGGGCAGAAAAGGUAUAGGGCACAAGGCGACGGGGCAGAAAAGGUAUAGGGCACAGGGCGACGGGGCAGAAAAGGUAUAGGGCACAGGGCGACGGGGCAGAAAAGGUAUAGGGCACAGGGCGACGGGGCAGAAAAGGUAUAGGGCACAGGGCGACGGGGCAGAAAAGGUAUAGGGCACAAGGCGACGGGGCAGAAAAGGUAUUGGGCACAGGGAAAUGGGGCAGAAAAGGUAUAGGGCACAGGGCGACGGGGCAGAAAAGGUAUAGGGUGUAGGUGUAAACGGAGCAGCUGGAGAGAGAGAGAUGGAUUAAGAAGCAUUUAACCCCGGGUGGGGAAAGCUGCAGCUGGAGUAAGGUCAGGGCACGGUGUGACAGGUCAGGGGCACGGUGUGACAGGUCAGGGGCACGGUGUGACAGGUCAGGGGCACGGUGUGACAGGUCAGGGGCACGGUGUGACAGGUCAGGGCACGGUGUGACAGGUCAGGGGCACGGUGUGACAGGUCAGGGGCACGGUGUGACAGGUCAGGGGCACGGUGUGACAGGUCAGGGGCACGGUGUGACAGGUCAGGGGCACGGUGUGACAGGUCAGGGGCACGGUGUGACAGGUCAGGGGCACGGUGUGACAGGUCAGGGGCACGGUGUGACAGGUCAGGGGCACGGUGUGACAGGUCAGGGGCACGGUGUGACAGGUCAGGAGCACGGUGUGACAGGUCAGGGGCACGGUGUGACAGGUCAGGAGCACGGUGUGACAGGUCAGGGGCACGGUGUGACAGGUCAGGGGCACGGUGUGACAGGUCAGGGGCACGGUGUGACAGGUCAGGGGCACGGUGUGACAGGUCAGGGGCAUGGUGUGACAGGUCAGGGGCACGGUGUGGCAGGUCAGGGGCACGGCGUGACAGGUCAGGGCACGGCGUGACAGGUCAGGGCACGGCGUGACAGGUCAGGGCACGGUGUGGCAGGUCAGGGCACGGUGUGACAGGUCAGGGCACGGUGUGACAGGUCAGGGCACGGCGUGACAGGUCAGGGCACGGUGUGGCAGGUCAGGGCACGGCGUGACAGGUCAAGGCACGGCGUGACA